AGGGGAUUCGCCAAGCGGUAAGGCAUAUGACUCUGACUCAUACAUUCGGGGGUUCAAAUCCCUCAUCCCCUG
rnacentral:tRNA from 1 species